ACCCUUCCACUGCUCUGAAUUCUGAAAUUCUCCCCACUCGGCACCAGCAACUCUGUCUCUCUGUCUCUCUCUCUGUUCUUCUUCUUCUUCUUCUUCUUCUUCUUCUUCUUCUUCGGGCGAUGGAUCGUGCGCGGCUUCUUCUGUUUGGGUUGCCGAUCUUCAUUUUCUUCUCGGAUCUUGUAAGCAUCUUCACGCCACCGCAAUCAUUGCCUCCAAAAUCAAACCACAAUCACCCCCAUCUCCAUCAACAGCGUCCCCAACCCCAUCUUGGCGUCUCACAGACCCUAAAUUUUCCUAUACAGAAAGCGAGUGGAUUUGGAGGAAUCGGCGUAGGCAACACCAUCAACAUUAAUUUCUGGUCUUCUUGUUCCUACAGGUGUUGUCCAUUAUAUUUAAUUGAAUUAAUUCAUGUUUUAACAUCUAUUGUCCUAUGAUUGCUUUCAACCGAAUUUGAAUUUGAAGGUUUAAAAAUAUAAUAGUGUGAAUAAGGUCUUGUCUGUUUGUACUUAAUAGCUUCACUUCUAAUGGCCUAAGAUUCAGUGAACUGGACAUAUUUGAUAAACUUCUUAUUAAUUCUGAAUUAUCUUUGACUGAGUUGG